AUCCGCCUGACGAGUCACAAAUAUGGCGAAAAGCGCAUCAUGGAU
rnacentral:hammerhead_ribozyme from 1 species